CCAGCACCCCGAGGUGGUCGGGACGAUUAUUGGGCCUAAAGCAUCCGUAGCCGGUUUUACAAGUCCUCCGUUAAAUCCAACUGCUUAACAGAUGGGCCGCGGAGGAUACUAUAAGACUAGGAGGCAGGAGAGGCAAGCGGUACUCAGUGGGUAGGGGUAAAAUCCGUUGAUCCAUUGAAGACCACCAGUGGCGAAGGCGGCUUGCCAGAAUGCGCUCGACGGUGAGGGAUGAAAGCUGGGGGAGCAAACCGGAUUAGAUACCCGGGUAGUCCCAGCUGUAAACGAUGCAGACUCGGUGAUGGACUAGCUUUAUGCUAGUCCAGUGCCGCAGGGAAGCCGUUAAGUCUGCCGCCUGGGUAGUACGGUCGCAAGACUG
rnacentral:rRNA from 1 species